AUGCAUCGUCGAUCGGCGGACCGGCCAGGCGGCCACCCCAUCGAUCCAUCGCGAGGCCAAACCCAGCCAUGGCCUCGUCCUCCCGCACGGCCGACGUCGCCGCCAGCAGGGUGCUGUCCGAGAAGGGGGCGGCCGCAAUGGCGGAGUGCGUCGGCCUGCUUUUCGGGAAGUGGACGGCGCUGCAGCUGGCGGUGCAGAACCAGUGGGGCGGCCACGACUCGCAGGCUAAGGCCGACCGGCUCGCCUCCUCCGUCCUCUCCUGGUUCACCCGCGCCGCCGCCGCCAGAGGCGCGGGCGCACUCGACCCGGACGAGCUGGAGGAUUUGCUGUACGUCACCAUGGACGAGUCCUUCAACGCCGACAUAGAUGACGGGGGCGUCGAGGAGGGUGGUGCAGUUUCACUAAAAGAAGCUGCAAUUCCUGCCCCACGUUGAUCAGCUCCCAAGAACUCGAGUUACCAAGAACCUGAUGAUCAUGUACACACGCUGUCUGCGGCAGGACUAUUCGUACACGGAUAAGCUAAGGAAGACGGGGCUUGCAGGCAGCGCCAUUACCCAGAGCAAACAGGUAUUGCGAGGCUAUGGCAGUAGCUGCUACGAUUAUGAUAAUGAUGAUGAUGACGACGACGACGACGAUAACGAUGAUGGAGCAGGUCUAAUGGAGAUUGAGGCGCUGCACAACCCGUAACCCGCAAGCCCGUCCCUGGUGCGGGUGGAUGCACCACAACAAUAGUGAAUCGAAGAAGAAAAUAAGGCACAUGUGGAAGGUUUUCGAUCUCUCCAUGCAAAUGCGUAGCAAACUAAUAAUGCAUGGCAAAUAAUGUUCAGUUGCAUGGCGCAUUUUGAUUUGUGGAUGAGAUGGAGUCGUCGCUAUAGCAUCGUCUAGCAAUGUAAAUACUUAAUAUAAUUACUCAAAAGUAAAAUUUCAAAGCAAA